CCAUUUCAAAAGAGGAAUUUCCAAAUCCCUCUUUUGACCACCUUUUCUUCCUCUCCGUUCUUGCUUUUGAACACUCUCUUCAUCUUCCGAGCAUCCUUCUGCCUUGCGGUGAAGUGAUGAUUCAGACCGUUCAUCCAGAAGCUCGUAUCCAGAAGCUAUGAAUCUUUCGAGCGCCCUUCUUUCGAAUGCACAUUCUCAAUAAUUAGAGAUCAUCAUAUUUCAUGCUAAGAAACUGUGUUUGGCAUUGGCUUCCAAAUGGGCAAUGGAAGAUGGGAAGGAUACAAUCAAUUUUAGGGGUGGAUACAGUUAUUUCACUUUCAUAUGGGGAAGAGGUGACAGUAUCCAAUGAAAAGCUAUUACCUGCAAAUCCAGAUAUCCUUGAGGGUGUCGAUGAUCUUAUUAAGCUUAGUUACCUGAAUUAGCCCUCAGUUCUCUACAACCUUUAGUACAGAUAUUGUCCUGAAAAGAUUUAUGUGAGCAUCAUUCUUGAUUUUUUUUCCUGCUUAGUGUGAUGUUGGUUCCACCUCCAUUGCCUUUAUUGACUUCCUUUCCCAUUUAUCUUUCUGUAGAGUAUAGCAAGGCUUGUUUUGGUUGCAAUCAAUCCCUUUAAAGAGG